rnacentral:rRNA from 1 species
AGUGAACGCUGGCGGUAGGCCUAACACAUGCAAGUCGAACGGCAGCACAGUAAGAGCUUGCUCUUACGGGUGGCGAGUGGCGGACGGGUGAGGAAUACAUCGGAAUCUACUUUUUCGUGGGGGAUAACGUAGGGAAACUUACGCUAAUACCGCAUACGACCUACGGGUGAAAGCAGGGGAUCUUCGGACCUUGCGCGAAUGAAUGAGCCGAUGUCGGAUUAGCUAGUUGGCGGGGUAAAGGCCCACCAAGGCGACGAUCCGUAGCUGGUCUGAGAGGAGGAUCAGCCACACUGGAACUGAGACACGGUCCAGACUCCUACGGGAGGCAGAAGUGGGGAAUAUUGGACAAUGGGCGCAAGCCUGAUCCAGCCAUACCGCGCGGGUGAAGAAGGCCUUCGGGUGUUAAAGCCCUUUUGUUGGGAAAGAAAAGCAGCAGGGUAAUACCCCGAUGUUCUGACGGUACCCAAAGAAUAAGCACCGGCUAACUUCGUG